rnacentral:rRNA from 1 species
UGGGGAAUCUUGCGCAAUGGGCGAAAGCCUGACGCAGCGACGCCGCGUGCGGGAAGAAGCUCUUCGGGGUGUAAACCGCUGUCAGAGGGGAAGAAGUCCGGGGGGAGGAAAUGCCUUCCGGUUGACGGUACCCUCAGAGGAAGCACCGGCUAACUCUGUG